AACGAACGCUGGCGGCAUGCCUAACACAUGCCAGUCGAACGAGACCUUCGGGUCUAGUGGCGCACGGGUGCGUAACGCGUGGGAACCGGACCUUAGGUUCGGAAUAACUCCCCGAAAGGGGUGCUAAUACCGGAUAAUGCCUUCGGACCAAUGAUUUAUCGCCUUUGGAUGGGCCCGCGUUGGAUUAGCUAGUUGGUAGGGUAAAAGCCUACCAAGGCGACGAUCCAUAGCUGGUCUGAGAGGAUGAUCAGCCACACUGGGACUGAGACACGGCCCAGACUCCUACGGGAGGCAGCAGUGGGGAAUAUUGGACAAUGGGGGAAGGCCUGAUCCAGCAAUGCCGCGUGAGUGAUGAAGGCCUUAGGGUUGUAAAGCGCUUUUACCCGGGAUGAUAAUGACAGUACCGGGAGAAUAAGCUCCGGCUAACUCCGUG
rnacentral:rRNA from 1 species